UACGUAGGGGGCAAGCGUUGUCCGGAAUCAUUGGGCGUAAAGCGCGUGUAGGCGGUUCGGUAAGUCUGCUGUGAAAGUCCAGGGCUCAACCCUGGGAUGCCGGUGGAUACUGUCGGACUAGAGUACGGAAGAGGCGAGUGGAAUUCCCGGUGUAGCGGUGAAAUGCGCAGAUAUCGGGAGGAACACCAAUUGCGAAGGCAGCUCGCUGGGACGUUACUGACGCUGAGGAGCGAAAGCAUGGGGAGCGAACAGG
rnacentral:rRNA from 1 species